rnacentral:rRNA from 1 species
GUAGGGAAUAUUGCUCAAUGGGGGAAACCCUGAAGCAGCGACGCCGCGUGAGUGAUGAAGGCCUUCGGGUUGUAAAGCUCUGUUGUACGGGAAAAAGGAAUACGUGCUAAUACCACGUAUUUUUGAUGGUACCGUAUAAGAAAGGAUCGGCUAACUUCGUGCCAGCAGCCGCGGUAAGACGAAGGAUCCUAGCGUUGUUCGGAAUCACUGGGCGUAAAGCGUAUGUAGGCGGCUUUUCAAGUCAGGUGUGAAAGCCCGUGGCUCAAUCACGGAACUGCAUUUGAUACUGUUAAGCUUGAAUAUGGGAGGGGAUAGCGGAAUUCCUGGUGUAGUGGUGAAAUACGUAGAUAUCAGGAGGAAGACCGGUGGCGAAGGCGGCUAUCUGGCCCAAUAUUGACGCUGAGAUACGAAAGCGUGGGGAUCAAACAGGAUUAGAAACCCGUGUAGUCC